rnacentral:lncRNA from 1 species
AAGUCCACUAGGUUAAAACCAUGGGUGAGUUUGCUAAAAAGUAUCCCUUUUUCCCCAUUUCUGUUUUGUAUAACAUCCGCAUUCAUCUAAAUUGCUGUUUAGAUAAGGUAACUCUACUUUACUAGUCAAGAGUGGGGAAUAAAACCUAUUAAGUGGAUGCAACACACUUCCUUUCUGCCUGUUCAUUCAAUAGGCUCUAGAAUGUAGUGGCAAAGAGCCUUUAUUCAAAUGGUGGGCGCCAUGCUGUGGUGCAACAGUUGGAUUUUUCACAACGUUCAGAAGUGCUUAUAAAUAGAUAGGUUUCAAUCAACAAGCAGCUUAUUCAGGCGUGUGCUCAAAUAUAGUAGCUGCAUUCAUUAGAUAGACAUUUCCACUAAUCCCAAGACUAUGCUAAUAAAAGAGUAAUCCUUAUGGGCUAAAGGUAGUGCUGGCUUGCCUUUAACUCUUAUAGAGUCUUUCACAGAGCAAGGCCUAAUAAUAAUUGUAGCUGCAUUAGGUUUUCACCAAGUGGACUAUAAAAGCUGAGCUUAUCUUGAAAUUUUUCUUUUUUUUUUUAGGUUGCAAUAGCUUAGUGGACAAAGAAGUACUUUUUACUCAGGAUAUGCAGCUCGCAGCAAAGCCAAUUUAGAAACCAAUUGCGUGUAUGCGUGUUCUCAUUACUUUAUUAUAAAGCUCCUUCUCUUUUACUCUAGUUAAUAAAGUGGUUAAUAAAGAGUUCACUUGAGCAGAUUUUGUUUUCCCCUUUGACUUUACGAUAAAUAACAAGUUAAUGUCAAUUUCAAGGAGAUUUGCAAACUCUUAGUAGAGUGAUUGGACUUUCUAUGUGGACCUUUUUGGGUUUGGCUUUGUUCAGUAAGGACUUCACUCCUCCCACCCUAUUCAGAACUAGCAGUGAUUAGUUUGCGUAGCACAGCACUCAAAUUUUUCCCUUGCCAGUGAUGUCAGAUCUGCCUUCCUUUUUAUUAUUCUGACUUCUUAUAAAUGGCAGUGACCUUUGAGUCAACCACACCAUCUCGUGGCCCUGCGCCAACAUUGUGAUCUAUGAAAAGCGACUCCCGCCAAGGACCGUGGGGCAGAAAACUGAUGCUAGGAGCUCGGUCCUCUGUGUGGGCCUGUGGAGUCUAAGGACUCCAAUGAAAGCAGCCUGGCUGAGCUGUGUCCUGAGGACGGAGUUGCAGCCCGCAGGGGAGAGGAGUCCGCCAAGGUAAGGGGGACCACUUUCUCUGCCCCAAGGCGGUUCUUACAAUAGGGUCCCGACUUGCAAGGAACAGUGAUUAACCCAGGGUUAUUCACCACUCCCAAACAUUCCACCAAAAUCAGUUGCUUCCCACACUAAUCCCAAGAUCUAUAGUUUUAUUCGGAAUAUAAUUAUGAAAACAUUAUUAGU